rnacentral:tRNA from 1 species
AUCCACGAUGGCCGAGAUUAGGCAUCGAGCUUUUAACUCGAUCACAGUUAUUAAUAACUUCAGGAUA